UGGGGAAUAUUGGACAAUGGGCGCAAGCCUGAUCCAGCCAUGCCGCGUGAGUGAUGAAGGCCCUAGGGUUGUAAAGCUCUUUCACCGGCGAAGAUAAUGACGGUAACCGGAGAAGAAGCCCCGGCUAACUUCGUGCCAGCAGCCGCGGUAAUACGAAGGGGGCUAGCGUUGUUCGGAUUUACUGGGCGUAAAGCGCACGUAGGCGGACUAUUAAGUCAGGGGUGAAAUCCCGGGGCUCAACCCCGGAACUGCCUUUGAUACUGGUAGUCUUGGGUUCGAGGGGGGGGAGUGGAAUUCCGGGUGUAGAGGUGAAAUUCGUAGAUAUUCGGAGGAACACCAGGGGCGAAGGCGGCUCACUGGCUCGAUACUGACGCUGAGGUGCGAAAGCGUGGGGAGCAAACAGG
rnacentral:rRNA from 1 species